rnacentral:rRNA from 1 species
GACGAACGCUGGCGGCGUGCCUAAUACAUGCAAGUCGAACGCAGUGGGGCCGGGUGAGUAACACGUGGGUAACCUCCCAUCAGAGGGGAUAACCCUUGGAAACAGGUGCUAAACCGAUACUGAUGGAUGGACACGGGGUGCAUUAGCUAGUUGGUGGGGUAAAGGCGCACCAAGGCCACGAUGCAUAGCCGGUCUGAGAGGGUGAUCGGCCACACUGGGACUGAGACACGGCCCAGACUCCUACGGGAGGCAGCAGUGGGGAAUCUUCGGCAAUGGACGAAAGUCUGACCGAGCAAUGCCGCGUGAGUGAAGAAGGUUUUCGGAUCGUAAAACUCUUUUGGUAGGGAAGCGGUAUCUAACGAGAAAGCAACGGCUAACUACGUGCCAGCAGCCGCGGUAAUAC